ACACACAUGUUUGUACGUGGAAAUGGGUUAGUCACAAAAGGAAGGAAAACCAUGAAAGAAAAAUAAAAUCUGGGGCUUAAAAUGUGGGCACGUGGCCAAACUGGCCUCUUAUUUCAAAGGCAGGGAGAAAGCUGCCUGCAUGUCACAGUUAAUACAACAAGCUUUAUUUUUCCCCUUGCAGGCUGAAAUAUUCACAAGCAUGCUGAGAAGGAGCAGAGGCGGACCCGCUCCUCACAGGGAGGUGGAAAGACCCCAUGGUUGACAGCCACCAGCUGCUUCUGGCUGUCACCGCUCCCACCUGGCACCAUGGCUCACCUCGCCCCGCAGCAAUCUGCACUGUGCAGGAACACCACCGUGCAGGAAAUGCAGCUCUUGGCAGAGAACGGGAUGGAGAUGACAGGGUCUGUAGGCUGCAGGCUUUUCGGAGGAAAAACAUUCAUUGCCAUGCCUUCCUGUGAUCUUGUGCAUACACUGGAUGACUCGGGACUGCAUUCCUUUGCCACAGGUAACGGAGCACUGAAACACACAGAAGACAGACAUUCACUGGAAAGGUAUUUUUGCCUGCAAAACAUGAGGUGAAAUGCUAGUCCAGCUGAAGUCAAUGGCUGUUACCUCAGUUACCAGCAAUCUGAGAUUUCUGCCUUCUAUUCAGUAACCUAUAUGAAAGUCAACUCCUAUAUAAAACAACAGGCCAAAACGAAACACCACUGAAGUAGUGUUUCCAUGUUUCCAGCACGCUGUGGCUGUCAAGGUCCACUUUGCAGAGCCAGUGAUGAAACUGAAAUGCAUGAAAGGAGCAAGGGCCAUUCUCCUGUGUUUGUCUUCUAAUUUACUUUUAUAAUGGAAGUGAGAGUGAUGGAACAAACAACAAUGCUGACGCAGAGAAGCAUUUUGAAAUAAGCCAUUACUCCUUCUGUCAGUGCAGAUUGUCCUUUCCACUGAGAAGUUUUGAGUGUUUGCCUCCUUCUCCUGCCUUUGCUUUCUGUCUCCAUGUUUUCAUGUGUGUCUGACAAAUAAAACCCAUGCAAUCCGUGA